AUGGAUUAUGAAGCGAGAAGGAUGAAAAAUGAAAGGAUUCAUUACUUACCGACCGGAGACACUCCGGUGGUUCUUCUACGAAGGCGUAAUCAAGAAGAAAACCAGAUAUCUUCAGAUGAUAAUUCUUGUGCUCUCGUUUUCUACUACGAAAUUGUCUCCCUCUUCCAGUCCAUUUCUUCUUCUCUUAAUUCUUCUGCGUCUCUGUGCUGUUUGUGUUUGUUGCGAGUUGUGAUGCGUGAAUGA